rnacentral:tRNA from 1 species
AUUAAGAUGUCUGAUAAAAGUAAUAAACUGUAAAUUUAUUUAUGAAUAAAAAUUCUCUUAAUA